UACGUAGGGGGCAAGCGUUGUCCGGAAUCAUUGGGCGUAAAGAGCGUGUAGGCGGCUCGGUAAGUCCGCUGUGAAAGUCGGGGGCUCAACCCUCGGAUGCCGGUGGAUACUGUCGGGCUUGAGUACGGAAGAGGCGAGUGGAAUUCCUGGUGUAGCGGUGAAAUGCGCAGAUAUCAGGAGGAACACCAAUUGCGAAGGCAGCUCGCUGGGACGUUACUGACGCUGAGACGCGAAAGCGUGGGGAGCAAACAGG
rnacentral:rRNA from 1 species